GCGCUCGUGGCGAAAUUUCGGUAGACGCACCCGGCUCAAACCCGGGUGCCGGUGACUCCGGCUUGCAGGUUCAAAUCCUGCCGAGCGCA
rnacentral:tRNA from 1 species